rnacentral:rRNA from 1 species
UUCCGGAUGAUCCUGCCGGACCCGACUGCUAUUUGGGUGAGGAUAAGCCAUGCGAGUUGAAUGGGAAACCUAAAAAUCCCAUGGCAAACUGCUCAGUAACACAUGAUCAACUUACCCUAUAGAGGAAAAUAACCUCGGGAAACUGAGGAUAAUGUUCCAUAGUUGAAUCGGCUUGGAAAAGUUUUUCAAUAAAAGGGAUAAGGAAAAUGGUCCUUAUCUGCUAUAGGAUAGGAUCGUGCUCGAUUAUGGUUGUUGGUGAGGUAAAGGCUCACCAAGCCGAUAAUCGAUAGGGGCCGUGAGAGCGGGAGCCCCGAGAUGGGUACUGAGACAACGACCCAGGCCUUACGAGGCGCAGCAGGCGCGAAACCUCCGCAAUACACGAAAGUGUGACGGGGUUACCCAAAGUGUUCAUUAGAACUGUGGUAGGUGAGUAAUGUUCCCUACUAGAAAGGAGAGGGCAAGGCUGGUGCCAGCCGCCGCGGUAAAACCAGCUCUUCAAGUGGUCGGGAUAAUUAUUGGGCUUAAAGUGUCCGUAGCCGGUUUAGUAAGUUCCUGGUAAAAUCGGGUAGCUUAACUAUCUAUAUGCUAGGAAUACUGCUAUACUAGAGGGCAGGAGAGGUCUGAGGUACUACAGGGGUAGGGGUGAAAUCUUAUAAUCCUUGUAGGACCACCAGUGGCGAAGGCGUCAGACUGGAACGCGCCUGACGGUGAGGGACGAAAGCCAGGGGAGCGAACCGGAUUAGAUACCCGGGUAGUCCUGGCCGUAAACGAUGCAUACUAGGUGAUGGCACGGCCAUGAGCCGUGUCAGUGCCGUAGGGAAACCGUUAAGUGUGCCGCCUGGGAAGUACGGUCGCAAGGCUAAAACUUAAAGGAAUUGGCGGGGGAGCACCACAAGGGGUGAAGCCUGCGGUUCAAUUGGAUUCAACGCCGGG